rnacentral:lncRNA from 1 species
CCGUCCACCUCUGCGAAGGAGUGGGCAGCCUGUGGGAGGCUGCCACCCCUUUGCAGCCGGAUUGUGGAGGACGGGAUGGGCCGGGCCGAGCCCGGCCCCAUGAUAAAUAUUUUCGAGAUGAGACUCGAACCUGGGUCCUUCAGAGUGGAAAACCGAAGCGUUUCCACGGGGCCCAAUCCGUCCGACCCUGUAACGAAGCGAUUAACACCAUAUGUCUGUUUAUACAGGGCGAUCAAAAAGUCACGCGUGCAAAAAUUCAUUGUAUAUACUUAUCGGGUCUUUUAUUUGUUUAUAAUGUAGAUUUGGUACACUGGAAAAGCAGCAAAAAAAAUCUUGACGUGGCGUACGGUUGCGGUUUGAAGUAAAUCAAGAAUAAAGAUGCAUUUGUUCCUACGUGAAAGACCGCUAUUGUGACUCAACAAAGGACUCGGCACAAUGGUAUAUGCUACGCCAACUGACUGGCGUGAUCUAGCAAUGUUGACAAUUGUAGUAAUAGAUGACAAAAUCCCUAUUUAAAAAAACUUUUACGAAUAUAGGUGCCAGUUUCACAAUGCAUUGAAGUUUUGAGUGGGUAACUUCAAUCACCCCGUAUAAAAAAAUUUGCUUGCUUUCAGUUACAGAAUGCUGUGCAUCUAUUUAUAUUAUUCAUAUAUCCCUUUUUAUAAAAUGUUGAAAUAUAGAAAUAGCUGAUUUGUUUUCCGAAAAACUUAUGAAAAAUGAAAGAACAAGGGAAUUUUAAUGCUUUAAUUUUAUUUUUUGGUAUUUUAGCAACUAAA